UUUUGCUGGUCGCCGGCUUCUUAGAGGGACUGUCAGCGUGUAGCUGACGGAAGUUUGAGGCAAUAACAGGUCUGUGAUGCCCUUANAUGUUCUGGGCCGCACGCGCGCUACACUGACAGAGCCAGCGAGUUUUUUUCACCUUGGCCGGAAGGUCUGGAUAAUCUUGUAAAACUCUGUCGUGCUGGGGAUAGAGCAUUGCAAUUAUUGCUCUUCAACGAAAAAUACCUAAUAAGCGUGAGUCAUCAUCUCGCGUUGAUUACCUCCCUGCCUUUUGUACACACCGCCCGUCGCUACUACCGAUUGAAUGGCUCCC
rnacentral:rRNA from 1 species